rnacentral:misc_RNA from 1 species
GGCUGAUGAAGCUAAAGGAGUGAGCUUUUGAGUUUUGGAAGAGCAAAAGGGAGGGACGACGUCGUUUUGAAGUUGUGUAGUGAUGAAGAUUCUUGUUAGAUUCCUUUUUAUGUUAUUGGUGAUCUUUAAUCCUAAUGCUCAACAGACUGCACGAGCAUUCACAGGAACAUAUGGGAUUAAUUACGGAAGAAUUGCAGAUAAUAUCCCUUCACCUGAUAAAGUGGUUAAACUUCUUCGGGCAGCAAAAAUUAAGAAUGUUAGAAUUUAUGAUGCAGAGCCUAGUGUACUUAAUGCGUUUAAAGGAACAGGGCUUGAGCUAG